ACGGGAGGCAGCAGUGGGGAAUAUUGCACAAUGGGGGAAGCCCUGAUGCAGCGACGCCGCGUGAGUGAAGAAGUUAUUCGUAAUGUAAAGCUCUAUCAGCAGGGAAGAAAAUGACGGUACCUGACUAAGAAGCCCCGGCUAACUACGUGCCAGCAGCCGCGGUAAUACGUAGGGGGCAAGCGUUAUCCGGAUUUACUGGGUGUAAAGGGAGCGUAGACGGUCAUGCAAGUCUGAUGUGAAAGGCAGGGGCUCAACUCCUGUACUGCAUUGGAAACUGCAAGUCUUGAGUGCCGGAGAGGUAAGCGGAAUUCCUAGUGUAGCGGUGAAAUGCGUAGAUAUUAGGAGGAACACCAGUGGCGAAGGCGGCUUGCUGGACUGUAACUGACGUUGAGGCUCGAAAGCGUGGGGAGCAAACAGGAUUAGAUACCCUGGUA
rnacentral:rRNA from 1 species